CCUCGGCUAUUCACAAUGAGGUUACUGUAGUUUGACUGUACAUACACUUGGUCCCUAGUCAUUCGGGUCCUUGCGGUGCAUGUUGGCUGCAGUAGGUUCAUUGUAGGAAUAGGGUGCGCACUUAGAUGGAAUCUAUCUCCCUUGGUAGAUAGGGGUGUUAGUCCUCUGUGAUUUAUGAGACCGAGUUUAGAAGACCUUGGUCAGGGCAGUGUUAAUAGCGGAAAAGGGUUUCUGAUAUUAGAAACUCGAGUCGAAUAAAUUUAACAUAUGACAGACGAUGGGGUUUGACGAUUUAUU
rnacentral:lncRNA from 1 species